UACGUAGGGGGCAAGCGUUGUCCGGAUUUAUUGGGCGUAAAGAGCGUGUAGGCGGCCUGAAAGGUCAGCUGUGAAAACUCGAGGCUCAACCUCGAGACGUCGGUUGAAACCAUCUGGCUAGAGUCCGGAAGAGGAGAGUGGAAUUCCCGGUGUAGCGGUGAAAUGCGCAGAUAUCGGGAAGAACACCCGUGGCGAAGGCGGCUCUCUGGGGACGGUACUGACGCUGAGACGCGAAAGCGUGGG
rnacentral:rRNA from 1 species